ensembl:miRNA Mir204 microRNA 204
GGCUACAGCCCUUCUUCAUGUGACUCGUGGACUUCCCUUUGUCAUCCUAUGCCUGAGAAUAUAUGAAGGAGGCUGGGAAGGCAAAGGGACGUUCAAUUGUCAUCACUGGC